UUGCCGUUUGGAGACCAACGCGGUCAACUAUAAGGAGAAACUCCUUACCCAGCUUAAACUAUACCUUACCAGGAGAAACAAGGACCUUCUCAACAUCAUCACAAAGACACAAGCUCUUGCCGUUUGGAGACCAACACGGUCAACUAUAAGGAGAAACUCCUUACCCAGCUUAAACUAUACCUCACCAGGAGAAACAAGGACCUUCUCAACAUCAUCACAAAGACACAAGCUCUUGCCGUUUGGAGACCAACGCGGUCAACUAUAAGGAGAAACUCCUUACCCAGCUUAAACUAUACCUUACCAGGAGAAACAAGGACCUUCUCAACAUCAUCACAAAGACACAAGCUCUUGCCGUUUGGAGACCAACGCGGUCAACUAUAAGGAGAAACUCCUUACCCAGCUUAACCCCUUAAGGACAU